rnacentral:rRNA from 1 species
AGAGUUUGAUCCUGGCUUAGGAUGAACGCUAGCUACAGGCUUAACACAUGCAAGUCGAGCGGAACACUUUCGGGUGUUAGCGGCAGACGGGUGAGCAACACGUAUCCAACCUUUCCCUUACUCGGGUAUAGCCUCGGGAAACUGAGAGUAAUCCCCGAUGUGGUGCACGGAAAGCAUUUUUUGCGCACGAAAGAUUAAUCGGUAAGGGGUGGGGAUGCGUUCCAUUAGGUAGUAGGCGGGGUAACGGCCCACCUAGCCGAUGAUGGAUAGGGGUUCUGAGAGGAAGGUCCCCCACAUUGGAACUGCGACACGGUCCAAACUCCUACGGGAGGCAGCAGUGAGGAAUAUUGGUCAAUGGGCGAGAGCCUGAACCAGCCAAGUAGCGUGCAAGGAUGACGGCCCUAUGGGUUGUAAACUGCUUUUGUGCGGGAAUAACGGUCGCCUCGUGAGGUGAUGUGCACUGUACCGUACGAAUAAGGAUCGGCUAACUCCGUGCCAGCCGCCGC